UACAGAGGGGGCAAGCGUUAUUCGGAAUUAUUGGGCGUAAAGGGCGCGUAGGCGGCAUGGCAAGUGGAAGGUGAAAUCCCUCGGCUUAACCGAGGAACUGCCCUCCAAACUGCUUUGCUUGAGUCCGGGAGAGGUGAGUGGAACUGCGAGUGUAGAGGUGAAAUUCGUAGAUAUUCGCAAGAACACCAGUGGCGAAGGCGGCUCACUGGCCCGGUACUGACGCUGAGGUGCGAAAGCGUGGGGAGCAAACAGG
rnacentral:rRNA from 1 species